GAUCCGGGUACCUAAGACUGUAGCACUGCGUAUCCCAUGCAGGCUGCCACACAUCCUUUCCCAGAGAAGAUGAAAAACAGGGAAAGCACCGGAGAACAAGUAACAAAGCGAAAACCUAUAUUUGAAGAUGUUCUAAUCAAACAGCAACCCUAGGAGAGGCAAGCAACUAAGAAGGAUCCAUGCAGCAAGAAGGAACACAAAGUGAUGGGGGUGAGCAGGAUUUGAGCCAAGGGGAACGGAUGGACGGCGGGCAGAGCUCUUUUGCUUACUUGGCCCAUUUAAAGACCAAAAUGGGUUCUCACUCGUUGAUCCAUUUGUUAACUAUGCCCUAAUUUUGAACAAAGGCCAUUUAAGGCCCGAAAAUGGCACUCCAUUCUCUUCUCAUAUGUCUUCUUCCUUGAUUCCCAGAAUCAAUCACCAGAAUAGCAUAACAAACCCCCCCCCUGAAAGUAGAAAACAAGCACCUGAAGCUAGAAAACAAGCACCUGAAGCGCACAACCAGAAAAUAAUGGACAACAAACCCAGAAAACGCGGCCGAAAACCCAAGAAAACGCAGGCUCCAGAAACCAUGGACUUCCAAUUCACCACCAACACACCCCAAGACGACAACGUUUCUCUCCCUUCCACUGCCACCACCACCACUGCUGUUACAGAAACCCCUAGCACUAGAGCUAGUCCUACUCCCUCUGGUCGUGGCCGCGGAAGACCUAGGAAAAUUGGAAAACACGCUGAAAAAUCGGAACCCAAGUCCCCAGAACGGAGGCUGACGCGCCAUGGGGAGCAGAACGGUGAAUUCCAUGCUCCGGCUGGCGAGAUUAGGCAUAAUAAUAUGGUGGGGGUGGUUGCAGCGGCGGAGUGGGAGAGUGUGGUGAAAGUGGUUCCGGCAAUGGAUGCCGUGGUGAAGGUGUUCUGUGUUCACACUGAGCCAAAUUUUUCAUUGCCAUGUCAGCGAAAAAGGCAGUAUAGUUCGAGUAGCAGUGGAUUUUAUUAUUAGGGGAAGGAGAUUGUUGACAAAUGCGCACUCCGUAGAGCAUCACACUCAGGUUAAGGUGAAAAAACGAGGGUCUGAUACCAAGUAUCUGGCUACUGUGUUGGCUAUUGGCAGCGAGUGCGAUAUUGUUUAAUUUGUUUGAUUGUAACAAGUCCCUUCUUUCUUGAUGCUAAAGCAUUAUUGACAAUUAAUGAUGAUGAGUUUUGGGAGGGAGUUGCUCCUGUUGAAUUUGGAGAUUUGCCUGCCCUUCAAGAUGCUGUUACUGUUGUGGGUUACCCAAUUGGGGGCGACACAAUCUCUGUGACUAGUGGUGUUGUCUCACGCAUAGAGAUUCUAUCUUAUGCCCAUGGAUCAACUGAGCUUUUGGGGUUGCAGAUAGAUGCGGCCAUAAACUCUGGCAAUUCUGGGGGGCCUGCCUUUAAUGACAAGGGCAAAUGUGUUGGAAUUGCAUUUCAAUCUCUGAAACACGAAGAUGUGGAGAAUAUUGGCUACGUUAUACCCACACCAGUUAUAGUACAUUUUAUUUGUGACUAUGAGAAGAAUGGGGCCUAUACAGGUAUCUUUGGCAUUUCUCCUUUUGUGAGAAGAAAGUAUGCAGGCCCUUCUUCCCCAUCGACCAAUAUUUCUUUCCCUCAGAUGCAAUGAUGAAUGCAAAGUACAAUUAUAUUCUUCUUUCUUGAUUGACUUAGAGCUAGAAACUGCAGAUAACCUUAUUUAUAAUACUUUGUGUGAUGUUGUAGUUGUAAAUAUUCUGCUUUCCAUAUCUUAAACCUGUCUGAUUUUGCACUGUUUUAGGCUUCCCAGUUCUCGGAUUUGAGUGGCAGAAGAUGGAAAAUCCUGAUUUGCGUAUGUCAAUGGGGAUGGAACCUGAUAUGAAGGGUGUCCGCAUAAGAAGAAUUGAACCAACAGCUCCAGAAUCCCAUUUUUUGCAGCCAUCUGAUGUCAUCUUAAGUUUUGAUGGGGUUAAAAUUGCUAAUGAUGGAACAAGUAAGCAUUUUUCUGUGAAACAUGUCAGCUGUGUUUGCUGCCCAUAAACUUCUGUUUCAUAUUUUCCCCCUUGUUUUAAACUUUUAAUCUUACUAUGUAUUGCAUAUUCAUUUUACCACAUAAGUAUUAGGUCAUUUAACAUGAUUAUGUGUUUUGAUAGACCAUAUUGAACCAAACAAUUUGCAAUUUAAGCUAAUCUUUUUAAUUUUGUCAAUCCAGACGUUGUGUUUCUUUUUCCUUUUUCUUUACACUUUUGUUUUUUUGACAUACUGAUAUUUUCAUUAAUGCUAACCUGAUAGACUUUCUUGUACCAGUUUCGUCAUUAUUGUGGUAUGUGUCUGCAAAUAUUAUGAUAAUCCUAUUGUUUCAGUUCCAUUCAGGCAUGGAGAGCGAAUUAGUUUUAGUUACCUUGUUUCUCAAAAGUACACUGGCGACGAAGCUGUGGUAAAAGUUCUCCGUAAUUCAGAGAUACUUGAAUUCAAAAUAAAACUUGCAACACACAAACGGUUGAUCCUAGCACAUAUCAAGGGCAAACCUCCUUCUUAUUACAUUAUCGCUGGAUUUGUUUUUUCUGCAGUUUCUGUUCCUUAUCUGCGUUCGGAGUAUGGAAAGGACUAUGAAUUUGAUGCUCCAGUCAAACUAUUGGAUAAGCAUUUGCAUGCAAUGGCACAAUCUAUAGAUGAACAGGUUGUUGUUGUUUCACAGAUCAGUCUCUCUCCUCUUUUCCAACCUGCACAUUUGAAAGAAAAUAUUGUUCUGUUUUUUCCCUAAUAUUUACUCCAAACUAUUGGGCAAGCAUUUUAGGUUUUACUCUGAAAAAGGGAGAAAAAGAAGACAAUUCACUGCAUACAUAUGUGUUUUUGAAAUGGGUGUAGGUUCUUGUGGCUGACAUUAAUAUUGGAUAUGAAGAAAUUGUCAACACUCAGGUUCUUGCUUUCAACGGCCAGCCUGUGAAGAAUCUGAAGAACUUGGCUGACAUGGUGGAGAGUUGUGAUGAUGAAUUUUUAAAGUUUGACCUAGACUACCAGCAGGUAGUGGUCCUACACACCAAAAAUGCCAAGGCGGCAACUUUAGAUAUCCUUGCAACACAUUGUAUACCUUCUGCUAUGUCUGAUGAUCUUAGGACUUGAGAAAAGAUAUCAGUGAAAGGCACAGAACUUGCUGCCAUCUUGGGUGCCCAAUAGUCCAAUUUUGCAACACAACAGUUCCGUUUACCUUUGUUGGAGGUCCGGUAAUUUCCUGCUUACAUGUUCCUGCUGGGGUUGCACUGCUUUCUUACAUUCAGAUGUCUGUAUGGUGGUUGAGUUGUGUAGUUUAUUUGUAUUUGUAUCCACAUAUUUAUUUCGUAUUAAGUGGAAGAAAGGAGGGAGCAUUAUGACUGGUCUCCCCACGUCUAGGAGAUUUUUGUUUUUGGUUUCUCCUGAUAGCAUUUUGUCAGAUAUAAGGGGAUAUAUGAUUUUAUGGCCCAUUUUGCCAGAAAAUCAUGUAGAUGCUCACUAUUCCAUCAUGAAUUUUGUGUUUUUCAUCUUUACUUUUAUUUUAUUUUGUAUACUUUCAUGUAAGACAUGGUAGCUGAAUAUUAUAGUUCUGCUGAAUGCAAUUAUUCAUUUAGUCCCAAAAUCUUUGUAGGAAAUGCAUGAAUGUUGUGCAUGAGUAAAUCUUUUCUUCUUCUGCAAUUCCUUGUGAUUCAUUAUGAGGACUACUCAACAAACAUGCAAGUUGGAACAGUGGGAUCAUGUAGAACAACUAGUUGUUAGAUAUUUGGUAUUCACAGCUCCCAUCUGUUCUCUACUGGCACGUACUUGGGCAUGAGCAUUUGUGCCCUUGUGCUGUAAAGGCAAGUGAUUCUAGGCUGUUAAAAUGGAGACAUUUCCUGCAUUUGGUGUUGUCUACUGCAUAGGCAUCCUCAUUUUUUCAGAAAGCCGAGCGAUCUGUAUUUGCCUUUCAUUUUUUAUUUGCCCUACACAAGUUCAUCUUUGUAGCUUUGCAAUAAAGGAACCUUCUGGGCGGGUGGAGAUUCCAGGGUACUAACACCAUAAUCUUCACUCAACUCUUCUUUGGCUUUUCCCCACAUUACAGUGUAAAAUCCAGUGGAUAUUAUCAUUGCUCCAAUGAGACUUCCAAGAUGGAGAGUAUCACCAAGGAACAUGGCACCCAUAGCAACUGCAAUGGCAAUUGACAAAGGCUUGAACAUUGCAACAAAAACAGGUCCCUUCAAGUGCAGUGCCCAUGUGUGAACAGUAUUGUUCAAGCAUGAUCCAAACAGUCCCGAGCAAACAAUGGAAGCUAAUGCUAUACUCGGCCGUACCAUCCAAGCACUCGAAGCUCCUUGAGUAACCAGAGCUAGAAUUGCUGCUAUAAUGCUCACGGAUAAAUUAUAAAAGAAGACUACUGUCAACUCUGCUGGGUACUCCUUCAUUAUUUGUGUCUGAACAAUAUACCAUAACGGAACCAGUAUAUACUCAGCUGUGAGAAAAAUUCCACCAAGAAUCCAAUUUGGAUGUGGUGAUUGAAGAGAUUGAUCAAGUGAAAUAGAUGGAGAUGAAGCAAUGAUAAUUGGUGGACCCUUGUACAGAGUCACUACAAAUGCACCAGCUAUUGAAAUGAUAGUGCCCAAGACUUUGGCCUGGCUGCUUCUUCUUUUCAUAGCAACCCUUUCCAUCCUGAAAAUUAUGGCAAGAAUGAAAGUGAAAGCUGGUGUGAGGUUGCUGAUGGCUGAAGAAAGAGUUGGAGAACUAUAAUUUAUGCCUGUGAAACCCAUGAUCUGAGAUGAGCUCCCAAUAAGCCCAAGAAGACCAAUUUUACAGAGUAUAGAGAAGCUUAGAGGAGGAAGAACUCUUGAUCUGCAGGAGAUGAAAGGAGCCGGAAGAAGAACAAGAGCAGCAAUAGCAUAUGCAUAGACAAUAAAGACAUAGUAAUUCAUGCCCUGCAAAGUAGCUGCCUUGUAAAGAGUGUUCAAGCCCACGUUCACACACUCCAUUGCCACAAGCGAUGUAAAUGGCAAAACAUCUCUGCAACAAUGCCUUCCUGCCAUUUUCUCCUCGAGGAUUCUGAUGAGUCUGAGAUUCCUAUGUUUGAAUCAAAUUUAAGAUUUUUUUUUUUGGCACUGUUGAUGAUGAGAGAUGACUUGGCGAUACAGCAAGAGUUUUGGUUUGCUCCUUUUAUAAUUUACUUUAUUU
rnacentral:misc_RNA from 1 species